rnacentral:rRNA from 1 species
UGGGGAAUCUUCCGCAAUGGACGAAAGUCUGACGGAGCAACGCCGCGUGAGUGAAGAAGGUUUUCGGAUCGUAAAACUCUGUCUUUUGGGGCGAACGUGAGUAUGGUGAACAAUCAUAGUCAGUGACGGUACCAAAGGAGGAAGCCACGGCUAACUACGUGCCAGCAGCCGCGGUAAUCGUAGGUGGCAAGCGUUGUCCGGAAUUAUUGGGCGUAAAGAGCGCGUAGGCGGGAUAGUCAGUCUGUUGUAAAAGUGCGGGGCUCAACCCCGUGAUGGCAAUGGAAACAGCUAUUCUUGAGUGCAGGAGAGGAAAGUGGAAUUCCCAGUGUAGCGGUGAAAUGCGUAGAUAUUGGGAGGAACACCAGUGGCGAAGGCGACUUUCUGGACUGUGUCUGACGCUGAGGCGCGAAAGCCAGGGGAGCGAACCGGGGAUUAGAUACCCCCGGUAGUCCUGGGCCGUAAACGAUGGGUACUAGGUGUGGGAGGUAUCGACCCCUUCCGUGCCGGAGUUAACGCAAUAAGUACCCCGCCUGGGGAGUACGGUCGCAAGACUGAAACUCAAAUGAAUUGAC